GCUGGGUGUAGUGGUGUUUACCUGUAAUCCCAGCUACUUGGGAGGCUGAGGCUGGAGGAUCACUUGAACUCAGGAGUUUGAGGCUGCAGUGAGCUGUGAACAUGCCAUUGCAUUCCAGCCUAGGUGAUAGAGAGGGAUCCGGUCUUUA
rnacentral:SRP_RNA from 1 species